rnacentral:lncRNA from 7 species
CAGGGAGAGUUUUGAGCGGUGGGGGAGAUAAGGACUGCACGCGACUUAGAAAAAAUCAGAGAGCUGGCGCUUGGGGAAGAGGGCGACGCGGUUGGAGAAGCUCCACGCGCGCGUGCGCAGGGACGAGCAGGGAGGACACAAGCUCCAUGCUGGAGAAGAGCAGUGCGAGGAAGAUGGCUGGUAAAAAAAAUCCCAGGGAAGGAGACGAGAUCCAAGGCUGGGGCGGUGCUCUGCUGUAGAUUUGGAAAAAUC